rnacentral:tRNA from 1 species
GAGGGUAUAGCUCAGUGGAAGAGUGCAUGCUUAGCAUGCAUGAGGUCCUGGGUUCAAUCCCUGGUACCUCCA